rnacentral:lncRNA from 1 species
CAGAGUCUAAUGGUGCCCUUAAAUCACAUCAUGGAGACAUCUGCUGGCACCGCCUGAUGCCAGCCCCAGAUCAAAGCUGGUUGCUGCUGCUGGGGCAAUUGGGCUUCAGCACUAAUGCCAUCAAUGCACAGGAACCUGUGUCCUUAAAGGACCUGAUGAAGACACUGUCUGUCCCUUGGAGGUCCCCAGCAAUAUGAGAAACUUGGAGCUCAGAGACAUCCGUUAACUUAAAGUGGCUGAAGGGGGACUCCAAUCAGGGCAACCCACCUUAGAGUCCUCUGCUGUCCACCACUGAGCUGGGAAAUGAAGACUCUGCACAUAGCAUUUCAUCUGGCUGAUCCUUGGAGUCCCAGUCUAAGCAGGGCAGAAUAUAUGACUGAAGUGAACUCCACUCGACCUUCAAAUCCAACCCCUCCGAAGAGAAUAUUCCAAGAAUCAAGCAAAACCUGGGAGGUCAAGGAUGUUUCAUCUGCGUUUCCCCAUUCUCUUAGAUUGUCUCUUCUUUCCUCAAGUCUCAUAGAAUCUGAGAGUUAGAAGGUUCUCAAAGGUCAUCUCAAGCACAAUGCUUUGUGAAAUUUGAAGUCCAGCUACAAUAUGCCCAAUAAGCAUUUAUCCAGACUCAAGAGUCCCCAUUGCUGGAGAAUUGGAAUUUAAUAAUACCAAACAUAGCCCAAUCCAUUUUGGAACAAAUCUACUUGUGAGGAAGUUAUUUUAUUGUUGUUUGUUUUACAGCAUGCUGUAGGUGGUCUCUUUGAAUUCCAUCUAAAUACAACUUUUUGUAGUACAGUACUGCAAAUCAUCUAUUCUAAAGAUGCAUAUGUGUUUACACUGUAUCUGUGAACAUUCAUAACAAUUGAAGACACUUCUGAUUGUGCUUGGCUGGGCAGCAGACACGACGUUGUUGCUUAUGCAUGUGUGAGACAGGCUGUUUCAGGUAGUGUGAUAAAAAUUCUCUCAAUAUUUCAGUCAAACUAUUUAAGAGUCUUUGGAAUAAGGAAUAUAAGCCUUCUAUGUCUUAAAAAAAAUUUAUGGAGAUUUUUUGAAAAUCAUGAAAGCACCAGAUUCAAAACAUUCAGAAGGCAUCUUGGAAGAAAAAAAAAAUCUCAGGAGACAAUAGUGGAGGACUCUAAACAAAGUUGUAUUACAGUAUUCUUAAGAGUAAAAUCAAUGGGACGAUAGAGCAAAACUGCUCAACUAAUAUACCUAAUUCAUAGAAUGUAAUAGCUAUUUAGGAAAUGAAACAUUUAUUGUUGAUUUAUGAUGUGCUACUAACUCUGCUAAGCCCUUUCCAUAUUUUAUUCUACUUGAUCCACCCCAAGACCUAAUGAGGUAGUUAGCACAGGGCCACUAUCCCUUAUCCAAAACUUUUAGGCCAAAUUUUGAAAUUCAUAACUAUUUUUAUUAUUUAAGAAUAUAUAGUAUAUGUAUUGUAUCUUGUUUAACCCCACCAGCAGGGUCUGGGAUAGCAUGCUGUAAUCAAACACAUUAAUAUUUUGCAACAAAAUAUGUGCAUAUUCACAGACUGUGGGAUAAAGAAAUAUCAUAGUAAGUCUCCAGUCUCCCGUCUCAUGCCAGUUUAGGUCAAAGAUGAGUUUGUGAUGGGCUUAUGAAAAUGUUUUCUGUUCUCAGGUAUUUGGGGAUUUUAGAUAUGCAAAUUAGUGGUUUGGAAUUUGUAUUAGUGUCUCCAUUUUGCUAAUAAACAAAGUGAGGCUUUGUAAGUAGUUCCCCCUGACGCACACAGCUCAGAGUGUGGAGUUGGGUCUGAGACAAUCAAGGUCUUAACAACGAUGCUUGGCUGCCUCAGUGAAGCAUCCAUCUGCCAGGAGGUUGGGGGUCACUGCCAUGGGCCCUGAGUCUUCUCUUCUUUAGACUGAUCACUUGCCCAUAACUAUCUCUAGACUUCUUGCCACAAUGGCUCUCCUUUGAACACCCCAUGGUUUCUCACUUCUUAAACCACUGUAAGUAUGAAGUCUCCAUGAGGGGAGACUUAACUAACUGCUAAUAGAAGAACAGAAAGAACAGAAAGGUGUGUGGAGUUCCACGCUCCAACAGCAUCUACCACUUGCUCAAUGAAGUUUUUCAAAAAUAAAAAUAUUUUCUAAGCAGAUGAUGUGGCUCUUUUAUCGUGCUCAUCAUUUUAGAGAGAAAAAGAUCAAAGAUAGAGCCACCAUAGGUUCCAAACCCAAGGUUUGGGAAACUCCAUUCCAGUUCUAUUAAAAUUGCAGCUUUUUCAUAUAAAUUUCCCUGGAGAAGAAAUAUCAUAGGAGUUUUAAUAAUAAUAAAGUACAGGUUCUGUAGCCAACUCAUCUGGUUUGAAUCUCGUUCUGACACUUCCUAGCUGUGUAAUCUUAAGCAAAUUACUUAACCUCUCUGUGCCUCUGUUUUUCUAACAAAUGGGGGCAAUGAUAUGACCUACCUUUGAG